ACGCUCGACACCUACGGGAGACAGCAGUGGGGAAUAUUGCACAAUGGGGGAAACCCUGAUGCAGCAACGCCGCGUGAAGGAAGACGGUUUUCGGAUUGUAAACUUCUGUUCUUAGUGAAGAUAGUGACGGUAGCUAAGGAGCAAGCCACGGCUAACUACGUGUCAGCAGCGGGUAAUCUGAGCGGGCUGGCAAGGC
rnacentral:rRNA from 1 species